CGCUGGAAUGCAUCGAGAUUUAAAGCUCCGGCGCCUAAGGAUGGGUCUGCGGCCUAUCAGGUAGUAGUGGGUGUAGCGUACCUACUAGCCUACGACGGGUACGGGUUGUGAGAGCAAGAGCCCGGAGAUGGAUUCUGAGACACGAAUCCAGGCCCUACGGGGUGCAGCAGGCGCGAAAACUUUACAAUGCUGGCAACAGCGAUAAGGGAACCUCGAGUGCCAGGUUACAAAUCUGGCUGUCGAGAUGCCUAAAAAGCAUUUCAUAGCAAGGGCCGGGCAAGACCGGUGCCAGCCGCCGCGGUAACACCGGCGGCUCGAGUGGUAACCGUUAUUAUUGGGUCUAAAGGGUCUGUAGCCGGCCGGAUAAGUCUCUUGAGAAAUCUGGCAGCUUAACUGUCAGGCUUUCAGGAGAUACUGUCUGGCUCGAGGCCGGGAGAGGUGAGAGGUACUU
rnacentral:rRNA from 1 species